GUAUAAGGUUUAUAGGCACUGAGGCCCAAUUAUACAUUCUGUUACAUACUAAGGGGUAUAUAAAAAACGUAGGCUUGGAAGUGCAAAGAAAGCCGACGCAAAUAGCGCAGCAUUCCUCCCGACCGAGUUACCUCGGAAAAUUCAUCCAGGUCUACAAGAGGUGCACAGGUGGAGAGAUGAGGAUGGCGGGUGUGCACAUGCCCCCACGAGAGAGCCAGCAACAACCACACCAAGUUCAUUCAAUAAUGAUCCUUCCGCAGGUUCACCUACGGAAA
rnacentral:misc_RNA from 1 species